UCCGGAAGUGCAGGCGGUAUUGUGCUUGCAGUGCAUCCUAGUGAAGAAAACACCAUCCAUAGAAAUCGCAGCUAUUCGUUAUACAGCAACUCCCUCUAUAAAUCUUUGCGAUACUGAAUAAUUUUAGUGAGUAGAAAUAGGCAACUAAAUACUGGCCACUGGGUGCAAUUUGAAUCUUGAACAAAAAUAAUAAAAUGAGUGUUUGUAAAAAAUGUUUAUUAGUUUAUUUGCAUGAAUAUUAUCUUAUUCUAAUGUCUUUAUUUUCUUCGUACUGAAAGAGAGCCUAAUUAAUAAGAAAUUGUGUGAAGAAAAAAAAGCGAUUGAAAUAAGGAAAAAAUCUUCGUCAUUUAUGACGAAGAUUUUUAGCACUCUUGGAGCAAUAUUGGAUGCAGUGUUCUGAAUUUCAUGGUGCUUGAAGACAACCAAAGAUAUUAGCCAAGAAUUUAUUUCUACUGCUAACCACAGAGAACGCAAGGCAUUUUCAUUACUUAUAGGACUAUAAUAAUACUGUAUGCUUUUUUUAUUACUAUGGUUUUUUCAUUGCUAUGUAUUUAUUACUAUAAAUUACUCUGAUAUUCAUUCCAUUGUAAAACUUAGAUGUAUUUAUAGCAAUUUAAGUACUACUUUUCCUUUAGCCUUUUAAUAUAAUACCCAGUAAUCCUUAUUAGUAUCCAACAGUAACUCAAUAACUCAUUCUACUGAGAGACAUUUGAGUGAAAUUUUUAGUGAAGUUUUUCUACAAAUAAAUUUUAACUUGCCAUAAAACUGUUCACUUUUACAAAAUUUUAUGAUUGCUAUACAUUUUGAUCUUUGAAAUUAUAAUUAGUUAUAUAUAGAUUAAUACACUUGCAUUUUAUACAAUAUGAGUUUUUUAACAGACAGUAGCAUGCUUUGGCCUAAUGUUAAUACCGAUAGGAAACUUUAUUUUUGUGUUAUAUGUGAUAAGAAUUUUUUCACAGAAGAGUAAUCUGACUGGGCACAGUCACUCUCAUACAGAUAAGAAACCUUAUUCUUGUGGUAUAUGUAAUAAGAGUUUGUCAUCUAACUGUACACUAUCACACUCAUACUUGUGAGAAACAUUAUUCUUAUAGUAUAUGUAAUAAGAGUUUUUCAGAGAAGUGUAAUCUGACUCUACACAGUCGUUC